rnacentral:tRNA from 1 species
GCCGGAUUAGCUCAGGGGCCAGAGCGGCCGAUUUGUAAUCGGUUGGUCGGGAGUUCGAAUCUCUCAUCCGGCACCA